GAAAUACGUGGUCUCAAGAAAAAGCUGCUAACUUUUUUCUUUAGCGGUUAAACUCCGUUAAUAUUUCU
rnacentral:tRNA from 2 species